rnacentral:rRNA from 1 species
UGGGGGCUACGGGAGGCAGCAGUGGGGAAUAUUGCGCAAUGGGCGAAAGCCUGACGCAGCGACGCCGCGUGGGUGACGAAGGCCUUCGGGUCGUAAAACCCUGUUGCAGGGGACGAAGGAAGUGACGGUACCCUGCCAGAAAGCCCCGGCUAACUACGUGCCAGCAGCCGCGGUAAUA